ensembl:lncRNA
CUCUCUCUCUCUCUCUCUCUCUCUCUCUCUCUCUCUCCCCUCUGCACUGCUAGAAAGCCGUUCAGUUGCUUUUAUCCUCUUUUUCUCUUUCAUUUUUUUUCUUUUUUCUUGUUGCUUUUAUUUUUCCUUUUUUUCUUUCUUUUUCCUUUGUUUCCUUUUUCUUUCCUUUUUUCUUUUCCUUUUUUCUUCUUUUCCUUUUCCUUUCUCUUAUUUUUUCCUUUUUCCUUUUCUUUUUUUAAUUCUUCUUUUCCUUCCUCUUUUUUUCUCUUUCUUUUUUUUCCACUUUUCUUCUCUUUCUUUUCCACUUUCUCUUCCUUUUUUCUUUCUCUUUUACUUUUUCUUGGCUUUUGUGGCACUCACUUUCCUUUGCCAGAGAAAUACCCUGGAAACCAAGUGCCCAUGCACAUACCCGGUCCAAAUCAGUGUCUGGCAUCGCUGGAGUCACUGGCAGGACAACUGCCCAAGGACAGACAUUUUUAGAAGCACAAUCGCUCCCUAUGAAGUUGGUGGACUCGCACUGUAGGACUCACUCCUGCCCUUGUCUGCAGGACUUUUCUGCUGGAUUCGGUGAGCUCAGAUCCAUUCCUCUCCUCCAGUGAGGUGGCAAAAAGCAGGGCAACCUUCCUCCUUUUCUACCCAGCAAUAGUUAAGGAAAUGCUGUAAUUUAUUUUUUAAUCUUAAUCUUGAAAAAUGAA